GGUCCCAUCGUCUAGCGGCCAAGGACAUCGCCCUUUCAAGGCGGCGGCACGGGUUCGAAUCCCGUUGGGACCGCCA
rnacentral:tRNA from 1 species